AAUUUUACCUGGGUGACAUUUUCUCUACCUAGGUGUGAAAUUAUUAGGCUCUUUGAUUAUGCUUUUAUGUUCUUAAUUCUAAAACAACAAGUAAUUAUUACUGGAACAGAUUUGGUAUACUUCUAUGUGCAUAAAAUCAUGAAUAUUUUUUAUGAGUGUGGUCCUUGGGAGAUAACUACUUUGAGGCCCUUUGUGAUGUGAACCCACUGAGGAUAGGCCUUCCUGGCCCUAGAGGGUUUUCCCAGAACAGGAAGGAGCAUUGGGAAAUGAUCUACUUAACAACUUCCUUCAUUUUUCAGGUACUAGGUAAGGAGUAAACAAGUGCUUGGUUUUAUGUCCUCCACUGAUUAGUAGCUGAGCUAAUAGAAACAUAGAAACUUCCAGAGAAACUUGAAGAGAAGAUGUAUGUUUAUAUUUCUCAAGUUAUCCAGAAAGAAUUUCAAUUGACUUCCUUUAAGUGACACAGAAAUGUAUUGUUUUUAUUCCAUAGGAAAGCUUGUCUCACUGAGUAGAAGAUGGCUUUGAACUACCAACAAUUUAAUCUGCUCAUCUAUGUUUGUAUUUUAAUCUAUGCAAGAGUUGCUUAUGUGGCAAGAGGGUUUACUUGUGGCAAGAGGGAACACUUGAUAAUCAGCCUUCUGUCAAUUUCUGUGUCUCAGAAUAUCUAGCAAGUCAUGGCCAAUGCCUGGCAUCUCAAAACUUGGUUUCCUUGGUUGACAGGAAAGCAUCCCUCAUCUUGGCUUGGAAUAUCUUUCAAAUACAGGCAUAACCUGUUUUUCUCAGUUUUUCUCCAAAUAACCUGGUCUUCUCAGUAUUUCUCCCAUGUGUUUAAGAAGAAAAAAGUUACAAAAUUUGGAAUGUCACAUGCACCUGGCUAUCUGAUUUGUUUUUGCCUGGCCAUAUUCUUUCUCAUGGCUCACUGGCCUUUGAGUAUGGCUGGGUAGAUUUUUGGAGAGAUUCUUUUGUGUGCAUACAUAAUUAUUGUAUAUAGCUGUGCAGGUGCAGGUAUGUUUGCAUGUGCAUGUGUGCACACGGAUUUGAGGGAAUUUAGAAAUUUGGAGAAAACAAUCUUAGCUAUAGUUUUUGAGAUGGCAUCCACUCAGAUAUUUUUGAGACAGUGUCUCUUACUAGAUUGGAACUUGGCCAAGUCUGGCUGGCCAUCAAACCCUGGGAUAUACCUAUCUCUCUUCUCCAGUGCUGCGUAUCUAAACUUUGACCUUCAUGCUUGAAAGGAAAGUUCUUUACUGAGUGAGGUAUUUCCCACAACCCUUUAGUGGGAUGCUUUAAAAGUUGUUCCCGACUGGCUUCAUUUCACAUGUUCUACAUGUGGCCCACAAAGGGCAGCCUUCAUCAUCUUUCCACAGAAUUCUGAAAGGAAAGGCCGUUUCCAUGGCUAGCCCCUCUGUGUACCUUCAUCUUAAAACUAGACAAGAGUAUUCUAGAAUGAUGUAGUUCAGUUGGGCUUUUUAUCUCUGACUCCAAAAGACAUGGCCAAGCAAUCUGAUUCACUCUCUCAGUCCAACUGCUGCUUUUUCAAGCGGUGAUAGGGACUUAGUGAAGGCUACACCAAUGUCUAUAAAAAUCAGUCUUUCUUAUUGACCUCUCAGACUUCUCUAGGAACAGCCAGGUUUCUCUGGCAUCAUUUGAAGAAGGAAAUGAUACUGACACAGCUGAUUCAGCCUAACAAGGUGGAAUGCAGUUUUUCUGCCUAAAGUCCAUGCUAUCCUGGAAAGAAUGGAGUUGUCGUGCACACCUCAACAAGCGUUUUAGUGAGCAGAGGCCAUUUUGCUUCUGAAGUGGACACAAAAGACCUGUUUGAAGAUGCCCUGAAAUAAGAGACAUAGAUUCACACUGUUCUCUUUUCCUCACAAUAAUGAAAGAGAGAGAGAGAGUUCAUCUCAAGAUGACAUUAAGGGGCAAUAGGAUGAACUGUCUCGUGCAUCUGCAGUCACGCCUUUCCAUGACGAUGGAUCUGCACCACACUUUCCCAAUAAAAGCUGAAGAUAAGACUUUAAUUUGUCAUGUGUGUUGUUAUGGCAACCAUUAAAGUAACUCUUACAUAAGGAUAAACUCCAAAAUAUAGCAUUGAGAAAAAGUAUGAAGCACAAUGGUUUGUGUCUGUGAUUCUAGAAGUCAGAACUGUAGUUUUCUUUGGAGGAAUUUACUGAGAUCAGCUAAGAGUUAUGGUUCAUAGCUUGAUCUGAGUGAUGAUUUUAUAGGUGAACCAAUAUAUAAAAAUGAUCAAGGUGCACUCUUAGAUUGUGUGCUUCCAUCUGUAUAUUUACACGAAAAACCAUUGAUGGCUUAUCAUCAUCAUAUUUUUCACAGCAUGUGUAAUUCCUAGUUCUGGUCCCUUCUUUAAGUAGAACCCAAGUUACGGUCUCAACUUCCCUGUAUCUGGGUUUCCAGUCACCUGAGAGGUAAUGCAGCAUCAUUCUUUGUUCUUGUUCAGAUUUUCAAUUAUUUUUGGACUAACAUUGUUCAUUCUGGUUCUUCCUUUCUAUAUAUUCCAUUUGGGGGAAAUUCUUCACUUAUAUUACUUGUCAAAACAUGUUUGGUGAAAUGUAAACAAGUUAGUUGACUACAACUUACUUAGUAUUGUGCUUAUCAUAUGGUCAGCAUGCAUUUAAUAUUAUUAACACAUAGGAAAUUAUUAAUAUUCACUUCAGUGAUACACACAAUGAUACUUUCUCGUGGCCCCAUGUAAUAUAAACUAAAGUUAUUAAUAUCACUCCUCAAAAUGAGCAUUUGUGUCAAUAAUUGG
rnacentral:sRNA from 1 species